rnacentral:rRNA from 1 species
UACGAAGGGGGCUAGCGUUGCUCGGAAUCACUGGGCGUAAAGGGUGCGUAGGCGGGUCUUUAAGUCAGGGGUGAAAUCCUGGAGCUCAACUCCAGAACUGCCUUUGAUACUGGGGAUCUUGAGUUCGGGAGAGGUGAGUGGAACUGCGAGUGUAGAGGUGAAAUUCGUAGAUAUUCGCAAGAACACCAGUGGCGAAGGCGGCUCACUGGCCCGAUACUGACGCUGAGGCACGAAAGCGUGGGGAGCGAACAGG